AGAGUUUGAUCAUGGCUCAGAUUGAACGCUGGCGGCAUGCCUAACACAUGCAAGUCGAACGGAAACGAUGCUAGCUUGCUAGCAGGCGUCGAGUGGCGGACGGGUGAGUAAUGUAUAGGAACUUACCUAGUAGUGGGGGACAACGUGUGGAAACGCACGCUAAUACCGCAUAAUCUCUACGGAGGAAAGCAGGGGAUCUUCGGACCUUGUGCUACUAGAUGGGCCUAUAUCGGAUUAGCUAGUUGGUAAGGUAAAGGCUUACCAAGGCGACGAUCCGUAGCUGGUUUGAGAGAAUGAUCAGCCACACUGGGACUGAGACACGGCCCAGACUCCUACGGGAGGCAGCAGUGGGGAAUAUUGCACAAUGGAGGAAACUCUGAUGCAGCAAUGCCGCGUGUGUGAAGAAGGCCUUAGGGUUGUAAAGCACUUUCAGACGUGAGGAAAAGUAGGCUAUUAAUACUAGUCUGCCCCGACGUUAACGUCAGAAGAAGGACCGGCUAACUCCGUGCCAGCAGCCGCGGUAAUACGGAGGGUCCAAGCGUUAAUCGGAAUUACUGGGCGUAAAGCGCGCGUAGGCGGAUAUUUAAGUCAGAUGUGAAAUCCCUGGGCUCAA
rnacentral:rRNA from 1 species